UACAGAGGGUGCGAGCGUUGUCCGGAAUCACUGGGCGUAAAGGGCGCGUAGGCGGAUUGUUAAGUCAGGGGUGAAAUCCUGGAGCUCAACUCCAGAACUGCCUUUGAUACUGGCGAUCUCGAGUCCGGGAGAGGUGAGUGGAACUGCGAGUGUAGAGGUGAAAUUCGUAGAUAUUCGCAAGAACACCAGUGGCGAAGGCGGCUCACUGGCCCGGUACUGACGCUGAGGUGCGAAAGCGUGGGGAGCAAACGGG
rnacentral:rRNA from 1 species